UCCUCAGAUAUAUAAUUUGCAUGUGUCAAGCGGUCCAAUUGCCACUAUAAACAAUUAUUGUGUAUAAUUAUUAAUUUCCACCUAUAAAUGGAUGAAUUCAACAUUAUUGAACAGCAUAAAAAUUUAAUUGUCAGAGUGAGAACGCCUAUGGGUGCAACAAGAAAAAUCGAACUCACAUUCGUACAAUUCAUAGGUUAUAUGUACUGUCAAUUGUUAGUUGAACAUUAAGAUGAUUUUCACACUGCAGUGUUUGCGACUAGUCGUCAAAUAGUAUGAUAAGGUCCAAAUAUAUCUGAGGUUUCAAAAUAGCUCCUGGAAAUUGACUUCACGUGUUUACAAAAUGAGUAAUCACCAUAUGGCAUGUGGAACUCUGAUGUGUCAAAGUCAUUCAGAUAAGUUGUAGUUGUGAAAAUAUAGAAAUAUAUUUGAUAGCUGAAAAGAUUCACAACUGAAACCUCCCCAUCACUCCUGGAUUAGAUCAUUAAACGUUCACAAAAAUACCCACAAGCGUAGAAGCAGAGUCGAAAACAGGAAAAGAAGGAUGAAGAGUUUAAAUGUGUUCGUGAUAGAUGAUUGAAUGUAGCGCUGUAAUGAAGCCAAAGAAAAUAUAGAAAAAGCUUCAGAAUAAAUACUUGAUUUUUAAAAUCAA